AGUAGUUUGACUCCGUGGCUCGAGGACGAACGCUGGCGGCGUGCUUAACACAUGCAAGUCGAACGAGGUGAUUGAAAGCUUGCUUUUGAGAACCGAGUGGCAAACGGGUGAGUAACGCGUAGACAACCUGCCGCAAAGAUGGGGACAACAUCCCGAAAGGGGUGCUAAUACCGAAUGUUGUAUCUUUCCGCAUGGGAGAGAUAUUAAAGAUGGCCUCUACUUGUAAGCUAUCGCUUUGCGAUGGGUCUGCGUCUGAUUAGCUAGUUGGUGGGGUAACGGCCUACCAAGGCGACGAUCAGUAGCCGGUCUGAGAGGAUGAACGGCCACAUUGGAACUGAGACACGGUCCAGACUCC
rnacentral:rRNA from 1 species